AAGAGAAGAAAAUAAGUGCAACAUGCCAGAAAUCCAGUAAAGCAGUUCAAGUAUCAGAAGAGCGUGAAUCAAAACCAAGUGCAAGAAGAGGCACCUUGACAUUGAACUGAAGGCCACCAGGUACUCACUGGGUCAAUGACUCUUCUCAUUUUUAUUCUCCUGCCAGUGCUUCCAAUCGCUGAACUGAACUGGGAACAAAUCAACAAGGGAAACCAAGAGAUGCAUUCCUUGAAGUUCAG
rnacentral:lncRNA from 1 species